CAAUCUUUAUCAGAUAGCCUUCGGAUUUUAUUUCUCACUCUACGGGUGUCAGAAAAAUAUGAAACCUCAAAUCUAGCCUCAUAAAAAUAUUUCUGACUUAUCCUCCAAUUUUCAUAAUUUUCUGAGACUGUGCAUUUUCUGCUAAUUUAUCUGCCCCGUCUCUCACAGAAAAUUCUAAAUCUUCUGUUUUCAUUCCGAUUUCAGCACAAGUCAUUUCUAACUCAUAUUUCACUUCUCCAAAUCCAAUAAAAAUAGUAUCUCAUACUAUUUUUAUUUAUUUUUAUUUUUUAUAUUUAAAUCCGGUAUAUUACAGAGAGCCUCCCCCCUGCGGUAG
rnacentral:lncRNA from 1 species